rnacentral:rRNA from 1 species
CCUACGGGAGGCAGCAGUGAGGAAUAUUGGUCAAUGGACGAGAGUCUGAACCAGCCAAGUAGCGUGAAGGAUGACUGCCCUAUGGGUUGUAAACUUCUUUUAUAUGGGAAUAAAAUGUUCCACGUGUGGGCUUUUGUAUGUAUCAUAUGAAUAAGGAUCGGCUAACUCCGUGCCAGCAGCCGCGGUAAUACGGAGGAUCCGAGCGUUAUCCGGAUUUAUUGGGUUUAAAGGGAGCGUAGGUGGAUUGUUAAGUCAGUUGUGAAAGUUUGCGGCUCAACCGUGAAAUUGCAGUUGAUACUGGCAGUCUUGAGUACAGUAGAGGUGGGCGGAAUUCGUGGUGUAGCGGUGAAAUGCUUAGAUAUCACGAAGAACUCCGAUUGCGAAGGCAGCUCACUGGACUGCAACUGACACUGAGGCACGAAAGUGUGGGUAUCAAACAGGAUUAGAUACCCUUGUAGUC